CUGGAAGACAGGCAAAGUUAUUCACUAAACUAAGAAUGUUUAUCUGAAUUGUACAAUUUAGACCAAAACAGUCAAUCUGUCACUGUAGAUGCUUCCAAAUCAGCUGCUUUAGCCUAAAUAAUGCCAUGUGGAUUUUCACUUCAUACAUUUCAAAGUUUAGUGAAUAACCUGUGACGAAUCUGCAGCUCUAAUUACAUUUUAUUAAUGUGUAUG